GUUUUUUCAAACUAGUAAAUCUUUUCAAAGCCCCCCUUCUUUCGUCUCUCUGUAUUUUUUCAAAGCCCCUCUCCCCCCUUUCAGGUUUAAAAACAUUUAAAGGCUCCCCCAGUUUCUCCUCAAUCCCCCCUGUACAAUAAAUAAUGAGCGGUCCAUAAAGGAAUACUAUAGUUCAAAAAGCUGCGGCUAGCGCUGCGUCCCCCAAUUAGAGAAGCCGGUCGCUAGUUAGAUUAUCGGUUAAUUAAUUAGAGAUCCACUAUACAGGGCGUCCAAAAAAUGCAAUGGCUGUGUUCCAGAUUUUUACGUAACUAAUUAUUAGUGGGCAUGCAUCAGAAAUUGAAUGUAAGAGAUGAAUUUCGACACUAAAAUAAUUAAAUCUCAGUGGCGGCGCCAGGCUUCCAAAUUUGGGGGGGCAUUUGAGGGGCAAACUCGAAUUUUUGGGGGGCAAGAUAGAAUUUUUAAAAAGGUCGCCCCCCCCAGGAAAUUCGCCCCCCCUCAAAACGUGGCGAUAUUCCUAGGAAUAUCGCCUCCCAGGGGGGUGGGGCGAAUACCCUAGGAAUAUCGCCCCUCUUUAGGACAUUCGCCCCCCAUAUAUGCGAUGUGGUUUAUUCAAAUAAUUUUGUGAUACUUUCAUCUUAUUAUUGCC